rnacentral:rRNA from 1 species
CCCCUAGAUGUUCUGGGCCGCACGCGCGCUACACUGAACAGUUCAACAAGUCUUAACCUUGGCCGAUAGGUCUGGGUAAUCUUUGAACGCUGUUCGUGAUUGGGAUAGACCUUUGCAAUUAUGGGUCUUCAACGAGGAAUUCCUAGUAAACGCAAGUCAUCAGCUUGCAUUGAUUACGUCCCUGCCCUUUGUACACACCGCCCGUCGCACCUACCGGUUGAAUGGUCCGGUGAAAUCUCGGGACGGCGGCUUGGUCGCUUGCGUCCGACUGCUGAAACUUGAUUGAACCAUAUCAUUUAGAGGAAGGUGAAGUCGUAACA